rnacentral:rRNA from 1 species
GACGAACGCUGGCGGCGUGCUUAACACAUGCAAGUCGAACGGAAAGGCCCUGCUUUUGUGGGGUGCUCGAGUGGCGAACGGGUGAGUAACACGUGAGUAACCUGCCCUUGACUUUGGGAUAACUUCAGGAAACUGGGGCUAAUACCGGAUAGGAGCUCCUGCUGCAUGGUGGGGGUUGGAAAGUUUCGGCGGUUGGGGAUGGACUCGCGGCUUAUCAGCUUGUUGGUGGGGUAGUGGCUUACCAAGGCUUUGACGGGUAGCCGGCCUGAGAGGGUGACCGGCCACAUUAGGACUGAGAUACGGCCCAGGCUCCUACGGGAGGCAGCAGUGGGGAAUAUUGCACAAUGGGCGGAAGCCUGAUGCAGCAACGCCGCGUGCGGGAUGACGGCCUUCGGGUUGUAAACCGCUUUCGCCUGUGACGAAGCGUGAGUGACGGUAAUGGGUAAAGAAGCACCGGCUAACUACGUG